rnacentral:lncRNA from 1 species
AGAGCCUCCUAGGAUGGCCACGCCGAAGGUGCGGAAGGAGGCGGCUGGCCCAGCGUCAGACGUUUCCAGCAUCCGCGGGAGUGAAACGGAGGCUGGUGGGCCUCAUUCAAUCAGUUGAAUUCUUCAAGAGAGAAAAACUGAAGUCCCUUAGAAGGAAAGAGUUCUGCCUUCAGACUGUCUUUGAACUUAAGACUGUAGCGUCGACUCCUGCCGGAAUUUCCAGCCUGCUGGCCAGCUCUGCAGAUUCACACUUGCCAGCCUCCACAAUCGCAGCUGAGGCGGAGGAACCCUAAGGGCUCAUUGAGAUCAUGGAUUUGCCCUUCUAUGCAUUGAUGGAGCACCUGCUGCCCACAGCGUCUGUAUUUGGUGCUGGGAUGCUGAGCCUCCUUCUUUAUGAAUUUUUAAAAGGACACUGAGAUCUUCAAACAGAGGCUGCCACUCUAAGCAAACAGAUCCCGAGCCCUGGACUCUGAAGCUUGGGCCCAGUUCUCCUUUUCUCCGGGUUUCAGAUCCCACUGUGAAGUGAGGGGGCCCUUCUGAUUCAGGACCCGGGGAAGCCAGGGGCAUGAGCAUCGGUGCCUCUUCUCUAUUUCAAGGACCCUUCUGGGUGUAAAGUUCUCUGAGAUGCCUUACAUGGAUUCCCACCACUGCAAGAUAACCAUCGUAUGAGGCUUCAGGCUUGACCAAAUCUGACUGGCUGGCUGCCGGAGACACUGCUACCCAUCGGCCCUUAAUAAAUGGCCUCAUUUGAUCAUCAUGUGAUCUUCAGAAGCUGGGCUUGAUUAUCCUUGCCAAACAAAAUGCUGAAACCAAAAAUCUGAAAGGGACAUGACCCUAUGCCAGCCCACACCACAGUCUUGGUCAUCACUCCUGUUUCCAUGGUGUUAACAGCAGCAGUUACUUGGUUACGGAGAGCUUUUCCUUACGCCAGCACCCUAUCCAUAUCGCUUGGACACCCUUGGCAACCACGUUCUACUCCUCGUUUCUACGAGUUUGGCUAUUUUAAUACCUCAUCUAAGUGGAAUUGUGCUGCAUUUGUCCUUCUGUGACCGGCUCACCUCACGUAGCGUGCUGUUCUCCAGGUUCAUCCAUGUUAUCCUGUUCAGCAGGAUUUCCUUCUCUUCUGAAGCUGAAUCAUAAUCCAUCGCUAACGUUAUCUUGUAACUCUUCUAUUAAACUCUCUAUCUCCUUAUCUCUCGAAGCUGCAUUGAGUUAUUUCUUCAGAUACAUCUUCUAGGUUCAUAUUUAUUUUUCCUUUUUUAAAAGCAAUUUCUAAUUUGUUUUAACCAUAUGCAUUAACUUUUUAACUUAAACAUUGUUUUUUAUGUAUAAAGGUUAUUUUUAGAAAAUGUUUGUUAAUUUUGUUUAUAAACUUAAAUUUAGUAAAUUGCUGGCUGGGCACAGUGGCUCAUGCCUGGCAUCCCAGCACUUUGGGAGGCCAGGGCAGGCAGAUCACUUGAGGCCAGGAGUUUGAGACCAGUCUGACCAACAUGGUGAAACCCCUUCUCUACUGAAAA